rnacentral:rRNA from 1 species
GGGUGCGAUCAUACCAGCGUUAAUGCACCAGAUCCCAUCAAAACUCCGCAGUUAAGCACGCUUGGGCUAGAGUAGUGCUGGGAUGGGUGACCUCCCGGGAUGUCCUAGUGUUGCACCCU